rnacentral:rRNA from 1 species
CCUGGCUAAGGGAGCUUGCUCCCUGAUGUUAACGGCGGACGGGUGAGUAACACGUGGGUAACCUGCCUGUAAGACUGGGAUAACUCCGGGAAACCGGGGCUAAUACCGGAUGCUUGUUUGAACCGCAUGGUUCAAACAUAAAAGGUGGCUUCGGCUACCACUUACAGAUGGACCCGCGGCGCAUUAGCUAGUUGGUGAGGUAACGGCUCACCAAGGCAACGAUGCGUAGCCGACCUGAGAGGGUGAUCGGCCACACUGGGACUGAGACACGGCCCAGACUCCUACGGGAGGCAGCAGUAGGGAAUCUUCCGCAAUGGACGAAAGUCUGACGGAGCAACGCCGCGUGAGUGAUGAAGGUUUUCGGAUCGUAAAGCUCUGUUGUUAGGGAAGAACAAGUACCGUUCGAAUAGGGCGGUACCUUGACGGUACCUAACCAGAAAGCCACGGCUAACUACGUGCCAGCAGCCGCGGUAAUACGUAGGUGGCAAGCGUUGUCCGGAAUUAUUGGGCGUAAAGGGCUCGCAGGCGGUUUCUUAAGUCUGAUGUGAAAGCCCCCGGCUCAACCGGGGAGGGUCAUUGGAAACUGGGGAACUUGAGUGCAGAAGAGGAGAGUGGAAUUCCACGUGUAGCGGUGAAAU